rnacentral:rRNA from 1 species
GAUGAACGCUGGCGGCGUGCCUAAUACAUGCAAGUCGAGCGAACAGACGAGGAGCUUGCUCCUCUGACGUUAGCGGCGGACGGGUGAGUAACACGUGGAUAACCUACCUAUAAGACUGGGAUAACUUCGGGAAACCGGAGCUAAUACCGGAUAACAUGUUGAACCGCAUGGUUCAACAGUGAAAGACGGUUUUGCUGUCACUUAUAGACGGCUCCGCGCCGCAUUAGCUAGUUGGUAAGGUAACGGCUUACCAAGGCAACGAUGCGUAGCCGACCUGAGAGGGUGAUCGGCCACACUGGAACUGAGACACGGUCCAGACUCCUACGGGAGGCAGCAGUAGGGAAUCUUCCGCAAUGGGCGAGAGCCUGACGGAGCAACGCCGCGUGAGUGAAGAAGGUCUUCGGAUCGUAAAACUCUGUUAUUAGGGAAGAACAAAUGUGUAAGUAACUAUGCACGUCUUGACGGUACCUAAUCAGAAAGCCACGGCUAACUACGUG